GCUCUACCGCCUGAGCUACAAGGUCAAGCUGAGAACGACUUGCUAACAUCAUAACUUAACAAGUCGUUCUCAGCUUGACCUUGUAGCUCAGACGGUAGAGCAUCGUUC